UACGUAGGGGGCAAGCGUUGUCCGGAAUCAUUGGGCGUAAAGCGCGCGUAGGCGGCCCUGUAAGUCCGUUGUGAAAGUCAAAGGCUCAACCUUUGAAAGCCGAUGGAUAAUGCAGGGCUAGAGUCCGGAAGAGGCGAGUGGAAUUCCUGGUGUAGCGGUGGAAUGCGCAGAUAUCAGGAGGAACACCAAUAGCGAAGGCAGCUCGCUGGGACGGUACUGACGCUAAGGCGCGAAAGCGUGGGGAGCGAACAGG
rnacentral:rRNA from 1 species